GCCUCCGCAGGCCGCCUCCGCCUCCAGUUUUCUUGGUACUAGCUACCGGAGCGGAGCGCAGCUGCUUAAGUGGAGCUUGCCAGGCGACCGCGUCAUGAACCGCAACUUGAACGCUGUGCAGAGCUUCUUGGAGCAGUUGGAGGCGCGAGGCGGCUGGGAGAGGGCGGUCCUGGCCGGGGAGUUCAGAGACAUCCAGGCCCACUCAGUCGCAUGGAAGACCGACCCUGUGUAUUCCACUGAGGCUGGCCGUCUGCCGGGGAACGUGAGGAAGAAUCGCUACAAAGAUGUGCUGCCAUAUGAUCAGACACGAGUGAUCCUCUCCCUGCUCCAGGAGGAGGGACAUGGCGACUACAUCAAUGGCAACUUCAUCCGGGGCACAGACGGAAGCCAGGCCUACAUCGCCACACAAGGACCCCUGCCUCACACCUUGCUAGACUUCUGGCGCCUGGUCUGGGAGUUUGGGGUCAAGGUAAUCCUGAUGGCAUGUCCAGAAAUGGAGAAUGGGCUGAAAAAGUGUGAGCGCUACUGGGCUCAAGACCAGGAACCACUGCAGAUUGGGCUUUUCUGUAUCACCCUGACAAGGAAGAGAUGGCUGAAUGCAGACAUCAUGCUCAGGACCCUCCAGGUUACUUUUCAGAAGUUUCAGGAAUGUCGUUCUGUGUACCAGCUGCAAUAUAUGUCCUGGCCAGACAGAGGAGUCCCUAGCAGUCCGGAAUAUGUGCUCACCAUGGUGGAGGAAGCCCGUCACCUCCAGGGAUCUGGACCCAGCCCCCUCUGUGUCCACUGCAGUGCGGGCUGUGGGCGGACAGGUGUCUUGUGCACUGUGGAUUAUGUGAGACAGUUGCUCUUGACCCAGAUGAUCCCACCUAACUUCAGCCUCUUCAACGUGGUCCUGGAGAUGAGAAAGCAGCGGCCUGCAGCUGUGCAGACAGAGGAGCAAUACAGAUUCCUAUACCACACAGUGGCUCAGAUGUUCUCCUCAGCACUCCAAAACACCAGCCCCCUUUACCAGAAUUUCAAGGAGGUACCAAGGCCCCCUUCCUACUCUCUUCAUAUCUACCAUCAAAGCCUCGGAUGGAGACCAGGACCCAGAGAAGAAGUGUUUGGCCACCAUGGACUCCUUCUGGGAGCAGGGACUGACUAUGAUAUCCACCUUUGUCCUCCUUGCUACCUUAUCAGACUGUUCUUCUUAAGCUUACCCCUCUACCCCAAGAGUCCACGGUCACUUCCAUGGACUUCCCAAACAGGGGUCUGGCCAGUUCCCUCCAAGUCUCAUACUCUUCCCCUCCUGUCUUUCCCCAGAAUUGUGCCCCAGUCUACGAUGACGCCCUCUCCUUCCAGACUUCCCAGAUGCUUCCCACCACACGGCGCCCACCUGGCCAGGUCCUCAGAAGCAUCUCGGUGCCUGGGCCCCCGGCCCUCGCCAUGGCCGACACGUAUGCGGUGGUGCAGAAGCGCGGGGCUCCGGCGGGCACCCGGGCCGGGGCGCGGGGGCGCGGCGCAGAGGAGGGGCCGCUCUACAGCCAGGUGACGCCGCGCGCCCGGCGGCUGCAAGCGCACGCGGAGAACGCGCGUGGGGUGCUGCCCAGCGGUGUUCCUGCUGACCAAAGCCCUGCUGGGCCUGAUGCCUAUGAGGACGUGGUGGAUGGAGCUCAGAGUGGUGGGCUAG